rfam:Triticum aestivum genome assembly, contig: Triticum_aestivum_CS42_TGACv1_scaffold_433154_5DL
AAAGUACUCCCUCCGUCCGGAAAAACUUGUCCCAAGCUUGUCCCUCAAAUGGAUGUAUCUAGCACUAACUUGAUGCUAGAUACAUCUAUUUGAGGGACAAGCUUUUUCGGACGGAGGGUUCCGA